CUAUCCAUCCAUCCGGUGCAGUGCACCACUAGGUAAAAAGCAGUAACGGGCAACUAGUUUAAUUAGUCUGGGCUUUUUUUUUUUUAUUUAUUUAUUAUUUUUUUUUUAGAGCCUUUAUAAAUGAGGAGCAGUCCAAGGUGGGAGGAGGAAGCGAGGAGCGGAAGGGACAGGGAAUGAAUGGUGAGGGAUAACAAAGAGUCAGGUGCAGUGCCGUACGUGCGUCCUCAGGGUUGCUUAUAGAUCGAUCUAUUGUUUUAAACACUCCUGUAGCAAUUAAAUAAGAAAAUGGAAAGGCUGUGGAAGUAGAAGCCAGGUUUCUAACGGCAGCUACAGGCUUUGAAAGGAGCGUGUGCGUUGUGUCAGGAAGAGCCCGUUCCUGUAGUGAUGGAGAAGAACGUACCAUCCCGGUCUGUGGGACAGCAAUACGUAAAGAUACGUCUGACUUUGGUUUUCCCGCUCCAAAAUAGUCUGCUGCUUCACUGGGUGAAGGCUCGCUGUGGAAGGGCACAAGAUGUAGCUGAAUGCAGCAAAGUCAUUUCUUGCACUUCAUCAGCUGCAUAAAGCACCUUCGUAAAUAUGAAUGCAAACAGUCUGCAGGCCUGGCUUUGAAAGUAUUUCAUGGUCAGUGGAAAAAAAUGAGGAAGAGGAGGGUGUGGCUGCCACUUAGAGGAUCUGGCCCUGCAAACGGGCACUAGCUUGUGGAGUUGCCGUCCUUCAUAGUAACAAAAUGAAGACUUCUUUCAGCCGCCCAUUGUUGCUGCCGGGCGCUGGCAGCCGGGGGCAGUUGUGGCAGGGGAGCGGGCGGAGGAGAAGCCGGCGCCGGUUGCUAGGAGACUGCAGAGCUGCAAGGUGAACACCACCAGCACCAUCGGCGGCUCCCCGAGGCUGGCUUCCCACCCUGCGCAGGUGUAUCAGCUUGGAUGUAGUCUUCCUGUAAGGAGUGUGAAAUUUACAGCAGAAGAAUUACAGCUUAUCAGUGAAAUAGCUCUUCCUCAUCUGACCCGUCAUUCAAAAUGCAGGAUGAAAGUAGCUGAGUAGAAGUUUUCUAUCACAUUGUCUAUAGGACUCCUAGAAGAUUCUUCUGAAACUUGGGCAUAUCUGUCUCAGGCCGCCCCUAAAAAGAUGAAGCAGUAAUCUGGCAAAAUUAACUCAAAACACACAAAGAGAAGACAUUCAAGACUAAUCUGCAAGGCGUUCAGAUUCACGAUAACAUGCAAACCAGAGUCUGCUUACCAUUGUCUGUUCCAAGAUAUGAUGUCAAAGCAUACAAGGGAGAGUUAGAAGUAGGGUGACUCAAAAAGGAAGUAUUUUGAAAGAAUGACUUACUGGGGAACGAAGUUAGAAGACGAAAGAAGUGAAGAUUGGUCAUCUAUGCAGAGGAAAUGGCAAGGUUUCAUCUCCCCUGGAUGCUGGCCUCACCCUGAUUUCUGGGCAUUAGGAUCUGGUAAUCGUCAUUUCUGCCAUGGAGAGCUCCGAAACGCAGCCCAGCGUGAGUCCCUUGCUGCUGCUGCUGCUGCGGCUCUCGCAGCCGUCCGUGUCACGCCUGGCAGCCAUCUUAGACCUGGGCAGAACGCCCAUCGGGGUGAGCACAACAACUCGGCUGGGAAGUCCCCAUAUCAAUUAUGCUGAAAGCAGUAGCUGAUAACUUCAGUUACCCUGAAAUGUGACCUACUGCCUUUGGGGUGAGAUCUGCUUUAUUGUGAAACAUCACUUUAGUUUAUCUGUGUGUGGCUGAUGGAUGUAUCAUUUACUGUUUUCUUUAGUUAACUGUUAACAAAAAGUAAGUUAGCUGAUUAAG